GGUAUCAUGAUUUUUAACCAAAAUCUUUGAAAAAGAUAUGUCUCCUUACAUAAAGCAUAUAUCCCCAUUACAAAUUGAAAAUGAAAUACAUUUUGCAAGUGGGCAUGUAAUGUUUAUAGAUACCUUCUUGAUGUGUUUAAUGCAUGUGAAUACAGUUGAUAUCCAAGGGUAAAAAAAGGAAGACUAUCUGAUUUGAAUAAGAACCUGUAGUAGAGGCAGAAAUGAAUUGUGUAAUAUAGUUUAUGGCAUAAAAUUCUAUUCAUAUCUGGCUUUCACAGACUAUAGACUUCUCAGAGGGAAAUCUAUCCAAUACAAUGCAUUUUUAGGGAAGGUGUACUUUAAUUUAUAAAGGUGUAAAGUGAAUUACAGGGUUUUCAAAAGAAAAAAAAGAACUUGUUUUAACAAUAGCCUUUGAAAACCUAAAAAUGCAUUCAUAAAAAAACUCC
rnacentral:lncRNA from 1 species